rnacentral:rRNA from 1 species
CAAUAGCGUAUAUUAAAGUUGUUGCGGUAAAAAAGCUCGUAGUUGGAUUUCUGUUGAGAGCGACCGGUCCAUACCAUGUAUGCGUAUCUGGCUUGCUCUCGGCAUCCUCUCGAUAGACGUUACUGCGCUUGAUUGCGUGGUGCGGAUCUCGGGACUUUUACUUUGAGGAAAUUAGAGUGUUCACGGCAGGCUUUCGCCAGAAUACAUUAGCAUGGAAUAAUACUAUAGGAUCUUGGUUCUAUUUUGUUGGUUUCUAGUAUUGAGAUAAUGAUUAAUAGGGACAAUUGGGGGCAUUCGUAUCAACACGUCAGAGGUGGAAUUCUUGGAUUGUGUUGCGACGAACUACUGCGAAAGCAUUUGCCAAGGAUGUUUUCAUUGA